rnacentral:lncRNA from 1 species
GGAAAAAGCAAAAUUCGUAAUUUUCAUGAUCAUUAAUACCGGAUCUGUCUGUCUGUUUUAGUCUUGUAUUGUGCUUAAACUUUGGUGAUAUUUUUAUGACUAGAUUGAAAUAUAGUGACAGUGCAGUAUUAUGCUUUAAAUACUAGUACUGCUUAAGUCGACACUAGGGACACUUGACCCUGUUUUACGGUAUAAAUGAUUCUUUUAUUGUUGAAGACCCUCCAGCAACUUUGACCAAAUGAUUGAUCAUUAGUAUUUUUUAUGCAUUGACUUUGUGUGCGAUUAGGUUUCG